GGACUGCCGCCGCGCCCGGUCUCGUUCUGGCUCUCACUCUCCCUUCACCUCUCUCUGGCUCUCGCUCUCUCCCGCUCCUGGAGCUGCCAGGAGUCUCCCCUCCGGCCGUGGAGGUGUUCUGAGGGCAGCGCCCUCUGCAGAGGCCGGCCCGGGGCCGCUGUGAGGGUGCGGUACCCGGAAACGGCACCCGAAGGGCUGCCUCACAUCGGCCAGCACGGCUUUGAGAGGGAGAAAAAAGCGGGAUUAAAGUUUUCCUCCUCCAAGAAAAGAAGCAGGAAUGCAAAACGUUGGAAUAACUAAAUGCACUUGUCUUGGAAGGGGUUCAAGAAUGAUGCAGUAGAUGGCAGAAUGGCCCCGCAGUCCUUUUUCUGUACUGAAGACUGGAGACUCACAGCAUUACAUCAGGCAUGCUGGUGAACCGAAUGUGCCCAGGACUUCUGCAUUCUCUGUCCCCCAAGCAGCAAGUGACUGACCUUCCUUGAGACUUUUCUGGCUGUUCACCUCAAGGCAUUCCUUCUCCUUCAGUGGCUUAAGAUCUCCUGCAGGUUCCAGCCUGCCUGCUGCUGCUCCAAGAGCUGCCCUGGCGAGUGAAGCUCCCGGGACCGACUUCCCAACAUCCCGCAGCACCUGGACGAGGUAGGAGCGGGCGAGGAGAGUCCCUGGCGGUCCCCGCCCGGUCCCUCCCGCGGUUCCGCGUCCCCGGGCACUCAGGCACUCCGUCACUCACCAUUCUUGCGCUCGGUGAGGGGCGGCAGGCAGGGGCUGGGCUGCAGGGACAGCCCCCGCAGCUCGUGCGCCACGGCCUCGCUGUGCGGGCUGGGCGCCAGCCGCGCCGGGGGCCCGGGCUCGUCCUCGCCGUCCGCCGGCCCCGCGGGCUCCAUCCUGGGCACGCCUCGGCACUCUGCGGAAACAACGCGGCUCUGGUCACUGUCUGCUCCGGCAACACCGACAAACGCUUCAGACACUGCUCUGCCUUCACAGCUGGGCUUUGGCAGUUCCUUCGCACGCAAAAUUCAGCUUCAGAAUUAUGGACAUUACCUACUCAUUUCGCACAAAUAUUACGGGGUUGGCAAAAAUAUAGUCAGGGAAUGGAUUCAGAGGCCAUUUAACAGAAAGCAGGACAGUUUCUCUGCUCACACCAACAGAAACAUCACCCAGUUUUAACCCUCACCAUGGAUGUCCAGAAGCUCCUGUGCCCCACCCUGUGUCCCCACCCGCCUAUCAGCACAUUCCCUUUUCCCAAUAGCUUCUAUUAGAGAAUGCUGAAUUAAUAUAGUGUGCUAACAUACAAAUGGCUUUUAAUAUUUUCAAGCUCUGCACAACUCUCCUUCAGAUCUCAAACCAACGUCAGUAUUUACAGAGGAUUUCACACCACCAAAGGAGUAUAUCAGAGCUAGUUAAUCCUCAUUCUUCCCAGUAAGGCUUUUGGCCAUGAACAUUUUAAAAUUAAUUUUACUGCACACUAGCUACUUAUUGAAUAGUAGAAGAAAAGUCCCAAUUUACUCUAUCCUUCCUUUCUAUCAUUAGUGUAAUACUUCAUCUACAGUAAGGAGAGACAGAAGUAUGAAUUACUGGUACAGGCUUUUUAUACCUGACAAAACUAUCAAGUCAUUAAAAUUUCAGUAAAAGAAUAUGGACGUCAAUGAAGUCCUAUCUCUUGGAAACUUGAAUGAUAUGAAAUAUUAACAACUCAGAAAGAUCCACAAACAUGAAGAAAUAUCUUAUUAUUGUGAGAUUUUUUGUUAAUUUUAAAUUAUUUUUCUUAAGAAACACAACUGCUUGCCAUACUCAGCCUUAAACUUCAAAUAUUCUGAAUAUAAACACCACAUGUGUUGGAGCGUGUAUUCAGAAUUUUGAAAAUGCAAUAUAUGUUUCAAUGAUCAAUACCAAAAUAUUUCAAGUGUUAACAUGAUAUUUAAAAAACCAAGAUGACAAAAGAUUAUCAUGACCACCAAAGAAUGUCCUACACUACAAAAGAGUAGAGAAUCAUGUUCUGAAAGUGUGAAUUGAAAAAUAAGAAAUGUAAGCAAGUACUGCUUGAUAUACACCUAAACAGAACAAUUAUCAUGGUUAAGUGCAUAUUUUUCAUUAUUUUCCCUAGUUACCAACUGGAGCUCUCACAUUAAAUGAAGACACAUUAACUUACUGUUAUGCAAGAUUUUUCUUCUUUGUUCUUAGCUUCUAGAAGCAUAAUUUACUCAGCUCUCACUCGAUUUCCUGACAUUACACUCUCCUCAAACUCCCACUCACUCAUACAAAUUAAGUACAUUAUUAACCAAGCAGGUCUCUUCAGAGCAGAAUUUAACUAAAAAUUUAGCUGCUUAUCUGUUCAUAUUCACAGAAUUUUAUCCACAAUUUACUAGUUAUGAGUUGCCUUGGAGUCACUUUUCAAAGAGAUUAAGCCACGUGAGCUGUAUUCAUGCUUUUAAACCAGAUGAAAUUAACAGAAACACCUUCUUGUACUAAGGCUCAGCAUUUGUUAUGCUGCAGAUUUGCUUUGACUAAUUUUUUUCCCCAUGACAGAUAAGUAAACAUCAUGCUUUGAAUGAAACUAGCUUGACUUUCACCACAUCUACAAUGCACUGCAGCAUUGGUAACAUGUCCAUCCCUUAAUUUUUGUUUCAGGAACGUACAGAAAUGUGGGUUUAUUGUCCAGAUCCAACUGAGAGCCCAGCAUGCAAUUAAAUUAUGUUGAUUGCAGCACAGCAGCACAACUCAAAACAAGUCUGACUACCCACACAGCAUGUGCUUGAUCUGUGGUUUGAACAUUAAUAGAUCAGGUUGGAAGGGACCUUCUGGAGGUCGUCUAGUCUAUCCCCCCAUCUCAUGGGAUUACCAGCUCUCAGGAACUUGUCUUGUCCCGUCAGCUUCUGAAAAUCUCCAAAGCAGGUGAUUUCACCACCUCUGGGUAACCUCAGCAUGAGUGCUCUGCCCACCUGCUUCACACAGAAUUUCUUCUCCUGCUGAUCAUGACUCUCAGGACCCUAUUUUCACUGUGGUUUCAUACAGUACAUGAACAUCAUCACUAGGAAACCUCUGAACUGAAUCCAAAGUUCUCCAGAACUCUAACCCUAAUUUUAAACUUUCCAGUUCACAGUGAAGUCCCACAUACUGCACUUCCUUUUUCCUAAAUCUUUUAGAUAGGUAUGUUCUCAAAUGAUUCUUUAACUCUACAACAACCCUAUUGCUAUGCUGCUACAUAAUCUUUGAACAAAAGACACUCUAGAAUUCCCAAAAAGUCUAAAUUCCUCAAAUUCUUUACUCAUAUCUUGUAUCACAUUUUGCUCUCAUUUCUUUUCGUUAUUACUUAUGAACUGCUACUGUAUCAGACUACAGAAAUAUUUCUGAGCUAAGAACAACAAAUUCUCUUAACCUUCCCCAAAAAGGAAAACACACAUCUCCACCCAGCAUUUCCAGGGUUUUUUUGUAGGGGGAAAAAAAAUCAGUGACCUACAUCAUGAACAUCUGGCAUAGAUACACUAGGAUUCUUACAGCUCCUUACUGAAUCAACAAACAGAACUUCUAAAAAAUAUUAUAAAGAUGACUUGCAAUAAUAAAAUAUAAACAAUUAA